UGAGUGGCGAACGGGUGAGUAACACGUGAGUAACCUGCCCUCUUCUUUGGGAUAACGCCCGGAAACGGGUGCUAAUGCUGGAUAUUCACUGGCCUUCGCAUGGGGGUUGGUGGAAAGGUUUGUUCUGGUGGGGGAUGGGCUCGCGGCCUAUCAGCUUGUUGGUGGGGUGAUGGCCUACCAAGGCUUUGACGGGUAGCCGGCCUGAGAGGGUGACCGGUCACAUUGGGACUGAGAUACGGCCCAG
rnacentral:rRNA from 1 species